AACGAACGCUGGCGGCGCGCCUAAUACAUGCAAGUCGAGCGAGAAGACGUAGCAAUACGUUUGUAAAGCGGCGAACGGGUGAGGAAUACAUGGGUAACCUACCCUCGAGUGGGGAAUAACUAGCCGAAAGGUUAGCUAAUACCGCGUACGCUCCUUGGACUUCGGUUCAGGGAGGAAAGCGAUACCGUGGGUAUCGCGCUCUUGGAUGGGCUCAUGUCCUAUCAGCUUGUUGGUGAGGUAACGGCUCACCAAGGCUUCGACGGGUAGCUGGUCUGAGAGGACGAUCAGCCACACUGGCACUGCGACACGGGCCAGACUCCUACGGGAGGCAGCAGUAAGGAAUAUUGCGCAAUGGGCG
rnacentral:rRNA from 1 species